rnacentral:rRNA from 1 species
AACAGGAUUAGAUACCCUGGUAGUCCACGCCGUAAACGAUGUCGACUUGGAGGUUGUGCCCUUGAGGCGUGGCUUCCGGAGCUAACGCGUUAAGUCGACCGCCUGGGGAGUACGGCCGCAAGGUUAAAACUCAAAUGAAUUGACGGGGGCCCGCACAAGCGGUGGAGCAUGUGGUUUAAUUCGAUGCAACGCGAAGAACCUUACCUACUCUUGACAUCCAGAGAACUUAGCAGAGAUGCUUUGGUGCCUUCGGGAACUCUGAGACAGGUGCUGCAUGGCUGUCGUCAGCUCGUGUUGUGAAAUGUUGGGUUAAGUCCCGCAACGAGCGCAACCCUUAUCCUUUGUUGCCAGCGGUUAGGCCGGGAACUCAAAGGAGACUGCCAGUGAUAAACUGGAGGAAGGUGGGGAUGACGUCAAGUCAUCAUGGCCCUUACGAGUAGGGCUACACACGUGCUGCAAUGGCGCAUACAAAGAGAAGCGACCUCGCGAGAGCAAGCGGACCUCAUAAAGUGCGUCGUAGUCCGGAUUGGAGUCUGCAACUCGACUCCAUGAAGUCGGAAUCGCUAGUAAUCGUGGAUCAGAAUGCCACGGUGAAUACGUUCCCGGGCCUUGUACACACCGCCCGUCACACCAUGGGAGUGGGUUGCAAAAGAAGUAGGUAGCUUAACCUUCGGGAGGGCGCUUACCACUUUGUGAUUCAUGACUGGGGUGAAGUCGUAACAAGGUAACC